rnacentral:lncRNA from 1 species
AUUCCAAGCUGUCACCCCGAAGCUGAGUGAACUCCGCAAAGCGUCUUCUGUGUACCUGGGAGGAGCAUGGUGCCAUUUCCCUUCCUCCUUCAGACUUUCUUCUACAUGGAAGGCCCCGUCCUCCACAGGUCCCAGCCUCAGCUGACACUCGGGUCCCAGGAGGCUCUGCGAAGGUUUGCUGGGCGGUUCCCCCGCACGCCGGGCUACAACAAAGGAACACAGCAUGACACGUGCUGUGAACCUCAGCUGUGAGACAACCGAAGGAGAGACAACAUUCAGCAAAAACAGAGCCCAAACUGUCCCCGUUUCUCUCAGCCCCAACUGCUCCAUGGCUUGGAGUGCAGCAAAUGUUUCAGCCGCGCUCAAAGGGAAGGCUUUGCUCUGGAGUCAGCAUGCAGAGCUCGCCUCGACUCCCCUCCAUGCCGCUCCUCACCAGCACUGGCUGGGUUUGAAUCUCAGCUCCCUGGCUCCUCGCUGUAAGCCCUGGAAUGCAAACCCCAAGGGCCAAACACCCCGAGGCUCUCAGGUCCCAGGCGCGGACACCUUCCUGGCCUUGGCUGUCAUGGCCCAGAUGGAAGCAAAGACAACUCCCCUCUCCACAGGUCGGCUGGUCCUCCUGCCCCGAGAGCAGGAGCCCAGGCACAGGCUCUGUACAGAGUUCUCCAUCUACUUCUCCCAGGGUGGCUAUGCAAAGGCCGUCUGCCUCUCGCUCUCUGGGUCCCACCUGCAGCCUGUCCCAGUGGAUUCUGUAGGCUCCACAGUGAUGCUGGGAAAAGACCCAAACACCCGGACAAAGCACGUGGACAGCUGCCAAUGCCAAAACGGCAGGAAGCAAGGGAAAGGCAGCUGGCUCCGACCCUUUGCCAACCGUGUGCAACGCUGCAGGCACCUAGAGCCAGCGAGGAGCUACCAAACUGGUUCCCAUCUAUGCUUGCAGCGGCUGCUGUCGCAGAGGCAGGACAGGGGUGCAUGGCUAUGCCAAGUAUCCUUCUGGGAUGAGCCGAUUCUCUUGUCCCAGGUCGGGCAUGAUGGAGAGGCCAGAAGGUAGAAGACCGGGAUCACGGAACAGGAUCAGGACCCCAGAACAGGACCGAGACCAUGAAACAGGAAGCAAGCUACAUCCAGCACCCAGUUCAGAGAGAGGGCUGGGGACGCCGACACUCCACCUCCUUCCCAGCAAACUCGGAAGGCUCCAGGGCAUCCCUGGAGCUGCUCUGGCAGAGAAGAAUCAGUGUCCACACGUGCAGCUCUCGCUCGAGGAAGGGCAGGGGCGACAUCAGAGGCAUGCUUUGCACAGCACACGCUUCUAGAAUGGCUGGGAUUUCAACCUUGAAAGUCUCAACUCCUUCUUCCUCCUCAGAUCUUGGGAUUUUGAAAGUGAUUCCUAAAUGCCUUUCGAUCUCAUUUUUGCCGAAGGAGAUGGUCCUAAUUUACUGCAUUCCAAUUGGAAACAUUUUUGAGAGUAAAAAUACCUGAAGACAUGUUGGGCCUGGAGGUAGCAGACUCAAAAUUAAAGCAGGGGCCCCUCUAUCCACCGCCCCCCAGAUUGCAUUAAACACAGCAUGUUGGGGAUCAGUGAGUUGCCAUGGCCCUGCAAUCAGACAUUUUGCCCUCUGAAAUUUAGCCUUGAUUUUGAAGCCCUGAGUUUAGUAUAUUUAGAUGAGCUGACGGGCCCAGGGAGUCACUCAGAAAGGGUAGAGGUCCUUCAGAGCUGCGUUAAGAUACAGUGGGAGGGGGUCAAAUUGCUAAUUUCAUCUGCCACUGAAAACUCCCAAACAGCAGAGAACUUCCCAGAAGACUUGUGAAGUUGGGAGUCUGCAGGUGGCGGGGGUUGGGUGGGGAGGUGAUGGCAUUCUACCCCUAAGAGAGCAUUUUGAAGUUGAAGCUCAACUUAAAAUAUUUGUGCCUAUUUUUGAGACAGGGUCUUGCUCUGUCACCCAGGCUGGAGUGCAAUGGCACCAUCUCAGCUCACUGCAGCCUCGACCUCCCAGGCUUGAGCAAUCCUCUCACCUCAGCCUCCUGAGUAGCUGGGACUACAGGCAUGCACCACCACACUUGGCUAAUGUGUGUAUGUGUGUGUGUGUUUGUAGAAAUGGGGUUUUGCCCUGUUGCCCAGGCUGGUCUCAAACUCCCGAACUCAAGCCACCUGCUCUCCUCGGCCUCCCAAAGUGUUGGGAUUACAGAUGUGCAUCAUCGUGCCCAGCCACAUUAUGCUUUUUAGAGGGACAUCACCAAUCAGACAGUGGCCUGGGCUGGACACAGCAUCCCUGGAAGACGGCCCCUCUCUAAGGUGUCAUCUGCCAUUAGCCAAGGACCCUCUUGUCUCUCUAGCUCCAAGUCUCCACAGAGGAUGUGCUCAAAAUGACCUCUGUGGAGACCCUCUCUCCAGAUAAAGCCUCCUUCAGAUAAAGCCUCUUGCGGAUAAAGCCUAAAGCACUGGUGGUCAGGACUUCAACGUGUGAAUUCCAGGAGGACACACUUCAGCCCAUUACAGACCUGAUGGCUUCUGCCAGACACCCAGCCGAUCCCCAUGGCUUAUGGAGGAAGAAGACAAGUGGAGACGGGGAGGUGGUCGGGCGACCCUUUCCACGGCCAGCAGCAACUGCACCCGUGUCUGGGCACCUCCUGAGUGCUGUAAGCCCCCAUGCAUCAUCAAGACGGAGGCCCAGGCAAGGGCAGGUGGGAGCUGAAACCCGUCUCAGGAGAUCCCCAAGCCACCUUCCCUUGGUCCCAGCCCAGAUUGUGGCUCCCCUGUGUGCCUCCCAGGCCCCAGGAUAGACGUCAACCGUGUCCCCUUGUGGGUGCCUUGAGCUUAGCACCUGCCUGUCCCUUCCAGGGGCCCCUCUAAUACAGGACUUACAUCUUCAUGAAGACACUAACUGUACUAGUGCGUGUUCUCCAGAGGAGCAGAGCCACUCAAGGUGUGCACAUCAGAAGAGAGCUAUUUUAAGGAACUGGCUGACGCUGUCAGGCCUUCAACUGAUUGGGUGAGGCCCACCCCUUUUGACGAGAGCCACCUGCUUUACUCGAAGGCUAAUCUCAUCUAGAAACACCUUUACAGCACCACCGUCCAAAGUGGAGAUGAUGUCAGCAAAGGGGAUAUUGAAGCAGAUGGAGUGGUACAGAUGGUGGGUCACUAAAACGCAGGUUGAAGGCUUUUCACAUCAAGUCAUGCCUGUGCCCACAGACAGGGGAGGAGGUGGCAUGAGGCUCCAAGCUCUGGAGCCUUGGAAGUCAGGCAGGCCCCACUGGAAUCACAGCCCCCUACUCCCAGGCACACCUAAGGAGUCAGUCUCUCCUGACCGAUGGAUCCAACUUCACAGCUGCGACUGAGCACCAGGGGGACGUGGCGCUGGGAAAUUGUCCCGGCAGACGAGACUGAACCCUAGAAGGGCCCCAUGGUAAAACUGAUAAAGCCUGAAAUGUGUGUGCAGACAUGGGCCUCUUUAUUACCACACAACGACCAUUAAAAUCUCUCUGCUAUGGUGUAA